UCCCUUGAUUGCCGAGGUCUGCAUUCUUCUCCGGACGAUGUCCAACGGAUAGCUGCUAGUCUGAGCAAUCAUUCCGGCAAUGCCGCCGCAAAUCAGUGAUGUUGAGAACCCAGGAAUAGCCACCGUGUACACUAUUCAUCGACACGUAGCCAUCAUCGAACAAUGAAGCACGUACUUGAAAAAUGCCGCCAUCGGACUUGUCUCAACAAGCGUCGCUAUUAAACACCGUCACGGCGUAAAACUAGUUUGUGAAAGAACCGACUCACCAGUCAACAGAUUCCUAAGUAGAUCGUAGGUGAAGAAGCUACAGCCAGCAUAGGGAAUGACACCGAGUAAUGUUGCAGGAAAUCCACGCCAUUCUUGCUCUCAUCAAAUCCAGAGGAUAAGUUGUACCUUGAGAUGUUAUACCCGCCAAUGAUCCAGCAAGAAAGUUUAAUCCUGGUU